AUUGAACGCUGGCGGCAUGCUUUACACAUGCAAGUCGAACGGCAGCAUGAUCUAGCUUGCUCGAUUGAUGGCGAGUGGCGCACGGGUGAGUAAUACAUCGGAACGUGCCCUGUAGUGGGGGAUAACUAGUCGAAAGAUUAGCUAAUACCGCAUACGACCUGAGGGUGAAAGUGGGGGACCGCAAGGCCUCAUGCUAUAGGAGCGGCCGAUGUCUGAUUAGCUAGUUGGUGAGGUAAAGGCUCACCAAGGCGACGAUCAGUAGCUGGUCUGAGAGGACGAUCAGCCACACUGGGACUGAGACACGGCCCAGACUCCUACGGGAGGCAGCAGUGGGGAAUUUUGGACAAUGGGCGAAAGCCUGAUCCAGCAAUGCCGCGUGUGUGAAGAAGGCCUUCGGGUUGUAAAGCACUUUUGUCCGGAAAGAAAUGGCUCUGGUUAAUACCUGGGGUCGAUGACGGUACCGGAAGAAUAAGGACCGGCUAACUACGUG
rnacentral:rRNA from 1 species